GGGCUUCUGGCGCAACGGUAGCGCGUUCGACUCCAGAUCGAAAGGUUAUCCGUUCAAAUCGGGUGAGGCUCA
rnacentral:tRNA from 2 species